UAGUGACUGCAAGCCUGAGUAGA
rnacentral:miRNA from 1 species